AUUGAACGCUGGCGGCAGGCCUAACACAUGCAAGUCGAGCGAGCGGCGGACGGGUGAGUAAUGUCUGGGAAACUGCCUGAUGGCGGGGGAUAACUACUGCACACGGUAGCUCAUACCGCAUACCAUCAGAUGUGCCCAUAUGGGAUUAGCUAGUAGGUGGGGUAACGGCUCACCUAGGCGACGAUCCCUCGCUGGUCGGAGAGGCUGACCAGCAACACUGGAACUGAGACACGGUCCAGACUCCUCCGGGAGGCAGCAGUGGGGAAUAUUGCACAAUGGGCGCAAGCCUGAUGCAGCCAUGCCGCGUGUGUGAAGAAGGCCUUAGGGUUGUAAAGCACUUUCAGCGGGGAGGCGUUACCCGCAGAAGAAGCACCGGCUAACUCCGUGCCAGCAGCCGCGGUAAUAC
rnacentral:rRNA from 1 species